rnacentral:pre_miRNA from 1 species
AGUGGGAUAGCUGGGUCAAAUGGUGGUUCCAUUCCCAGUUUUCUGAGGAAUCUCCAUACUGCUUUCCAUAAUGGUUGCACCAAAUGCAGUCCCACCAGCAAU